UGCAGAUGGGCUGGAAGGGGUGUGU
rnacentral:piRNA from 1 species